GGAAGGGUCCGGUAACCCAACAUAAUGGUCCUUCGAGCCGGAUUAAACUCCAGUAAACCGGACAAAGGAAACUGCCAUCGCCGAGGAUACGUGGCUUUGGCGCCAAACGGAAUAAAGGAUUCCAAGCUUUAUUGUACAUCUAUACAAUUGGCAGCCAUAAGCCAAGGCUAGCUCCAACGUCUUUAAUGUGAACAAUUGCUCAAAUUCUAACUGGAUAUAAGGAAGACUCAAGAUGGCUAACUUUGGAUCUAUUUGGAAUAUCAUCAAACACCAAACGCACUGAAUUAGAAUUGGAAACCGAUCUACCACCAAUACCCGUUUCUGGACUCUACGGAUACUCGUCGGAUUUUAUCAUCAACCUAGGCCCACUGUCUGGUUGCGCAGAAUCAGCUGUUGACGAUUUUCUUCGCAUGACGAACGAUGCCAAAAUUCAACAGACGAUCCAUGACGUCAUCGAGGAGACAUGGAUCGAGUUACAGCUGACACAUAUUCAAGAUCAUUAUCGGGCAAUCAAAAUAUGUACCCAAACAAACUAAGCCUGGUCAUGACAACUCAGCUAUCGUAUUUGUUGGAGAACACACAAUCUUGGAUAUACGGAAUGGAAACUGGCCACCAACUAUCAAUUGUAACGGAUACGGACAACCGUCUGACUUGGAAUGCAUCACUAUCCCGUUUUCAUCACAAACCACAAUUCGAGAUCACUUCUAUCACUGUUUGGAUGGAUCGUACAGCACAACGGAGCCAAGUGGCUGCACCUACUUGGUCAGGUAAGCAGCUUACUGUAUAUGCCCAGCCGAGCUAGGCAUGAGCAAUUUCGUUACUCACACCAAUAAUACAUUUUCGGGAUCAACGACGUCAUCAAUCCACGCUCUCGAGAUCGAACUCUUCUGGAAACCUGGUGAGAGCUGGCAACCAAAUCUGUACACAUGG